GGCCGGUUAGCUCAGCUGGUUAGAGCGUGGUGCUAAUAACGCCAAGGUCCUGGGUUCAAUCCCUAUACUGGCCA
rnacentral:tRNA from 1 species